rnacentral:siRNA from 1 species
ACCGCCCGUUUCCGCAAACUCC